CACAUAUAGCCUCACUUGGUGUGUGGUUUUGCCAUAUGACCUUUACAAAGGGUAUUUCUCGGUUGCGGAGUAAACUGCUCUUCGAUCCGCAAUGCCGACUGGUACUUCCUCGUAUGAUAAAUCCUCCUGGAGUGGAAGAGGUUUGUGGGCCAAGACAUGAGAGGGGUCCGAGCUGUACUUGCGUAGCAUAGACACAUGAAAUACAUUGUUGACUUUAGAAAGUUUCGGAGGCAGUGCUAGUCUGUAGGUGGCGUUACCAAUCUUGUCUAAGACUUCAAAUGGUCUAAUAAAUCGGGGGUUCAGUUUCCCCCUCCUACCGAACCUACUG
rnacentral:lncRNA from 1 species